rnacentral:rRNA from 1 species
AUGAACGCUGGCGGCGUGCCUAAUACAUGCAAGUCGAGCGAACAGACGAGGAGCUUGCUCCUCUGACGUUAGCGGCGGACGGGUGAGUAACACGUGGAUAACCUACCUAUAAGACUGGGAUAACUUCGGGAAACCGGAGCUAAUACCGGAUAAUAUAUUGAACCGCAUGGUUCAAUAGUGAAAGACGGUUUUGCUGUCACUUAUAGAUGGAUCCGCGCCGCAUUAGCUAGUUGGUAAGGUAACGGCUUACCAAGGCAACGAUGCGUAGCCGACCUGAGAGGGUGAUCGGCCACACUGGAACUGAGACACGGUCCAGACUCCUACGGGAGGCAGCAGUAGGGAAUCUUCCGCAAUGGGCGAAAGCUUGACGGAUCAACGCCGCGUGAGUGAUGAAGGUCUUCGGAUCGUAAAACUCUGUUAUUAGGGAAGAACAAAUGUGUAAGUAACUAUGCACGUCUUGACGGUACCUAAUCAGAAAGCCACGGCUAACUACGUG